AAUAUGCAAAGACAUUAAUUUGUUUUAUGCGCAACUAAUACUGAAAUAUAGAACAAUAAAUUUAUAGUAUUAUCAACUAAAAUGAACAAAAAAAGAACAAUAAAAUACCAACUAAUAUGUUUUUACAUUGAAACAAAAAAAUUCUUACAUUUAUAUUAACAACUAAAAUUAAUAUAGUUAUAGUAUUAUCUUCAGAACUAGCUUCCAAAAUACAAAGUAUCAUCAAAACAUGACAUCUAUCUAAACCUACUUUGUUAAAAGGGUUAAAAAGAAUACAAAUGAUCCAUCGAUAUGGCAAUACUGUCUACAUUAGUGGAAGUUUUACUACCCCAAAAAAAUAUUAGUCGGC
rnacentral:lncRNA from 1 species